rnacentral:rRNA from 1 species
UACGCAGGGGGCGAGCGAGAACCGGAUUUACUGGGUGUAAAGGGUGCGUAGGCGGCUUGGUAAGUCAGAAGUGAAAGGUUGGGGCUCAACCCCAGAACUGCUUCUGAAACUGCUGGGCGAGAGUGUGGGAGAGGAAAGUGGAAUUCCGGGUGUAGCGGUGAAAUGCGUAGAGAUUCGGUGGAACACCAGUAGCGAAGGCGACUUUCUGGACCAUAACUGACGCUGAGGCACGAAAGCGUGGGGAGCAAACAGG